rnacentral:rRNA from 1 species
AUUGAACGCUGGCGGAAUGCUUUACACAUGCAAGUCGAACGGCAGCACGGACUUCGGUCUGGUGGCGAGUGGCGAACGGGUGAGUAAUGUAUCGGAACGUGCCCAGUCGUGGGGGAUAACGUAGUGAAAAUUACGCUAAUACCGCAUACGAUCUAUGGAUGAAAGCGGGGGAUCGCGAGACCUCGAGCGAUUGGAGCGGCCGAUAUCAGAUUAGGUAGUUGGUGGGGUAAAGGCCCACCAAGCCAACGAUCUGUAGCUGGUCUGAGAGGACGACCAGCCACACUGGAACUGAGACACGGUCCGGACUCCUACGGGAGGCAGCAGUGGGGAAUUUUGGACAAUGGGCGAAAGCCUGAUCCAGCCAUUCCGCGUGCAGGAUGAAGGCCCUCGGGUUGUAAACUGCUUUUGUACAGAACGAAAAGGUUUCUACUAAUACUAGGAGCUCAUGACGGUACUGUAGAAUAAGCACCGGCUAACUACGUGCCAGCAGCCGCGGUAA